rnacentral:lncRNA from 1 species
GGGACUACAGGCGUGCACCACCAUGCUCGGCUAAUUUUUUGUAUUUUAGUAGAGACAGGGUUUCACCAUGUUGCCCAGGGUGGUCUUGAACUCCUGAGCUCAGGCAAUCCACCUGCCUCAGCCUCCCAAAGUGCUGGGAUUACAGGCAUGAGCCACCAUGCCCAGCCAAGAUCUGAUUUUUCAAAAACUAUCAUGAACAUUGUCAAGAAGAAAUACAGGAUGCAUUGGGAGAUGAACUAGAUCUUCAAGAGAAAGAGAAUGUUAAAUGGAAUGAUGGAGGAGAGGAGCGGCUAAAUGAAUACUUUGAAUCAGUAUUUAUUGAAGAAGACAAUGGGGAAAUUCUUGUUCCAAGGACACAUUUUAUGGCAAAGCAGAGAAUGGCCUUGUCAGAGAUUCUUCAGUCUCUUAGGAGAAAGGAUGCAGAUGAUGCAGAUGACAUAAAUGUUUUCCCUCACCUCAAACAGGGAGUCAAGUCGGAGAAGCAAGCUUGAAAACAGAAACUAACCUUAAGUCAAAGCACAGGCCCUUAGCAAUAUUACUAUAUGCUCACCAGUCACCUGCCUGUGGAAAUGAAAUCAUAACCAUUCCCCUUUGCCCCGCUUCGUCUGUCACCCAUCACGGACAGUGAGUACUGUCACAGGGGUAUGAAACAGCAAAUAAUGAUGCUGAUACUUUUCUUACUGCCUCUUAAAGACAAUCAUUAUUCAUGGAACAACAGUUUGUAAGCUCAAAGUAAUGAUGGACAAAUUGAUUAAGAGAUGCUUAAUCUAAGGUUUAGCGUUCAGCCAAAUGCUGCUUAACAUAGCCAACAAGGAUUCAAAA